rnacentral:rRNA from 1 species
UACGUAGGGUGCAAGCGUUAAUCGGAAUUACUGGGCGUAAAGCGUGCGCAGGCGGUGAUGUAAGACAGGUGUGAAAUCCCCGGGCUUAACCUGGGGAACUGCAUUUGUGACUGCAUCGCUGGAGUGCGGCAGAGGGGGAUGGAAUUCCGCGUGUAGCAGUGAAAUGCGUAGAUAUGCGGAGGAACACCGAUGGCGAAGGCAAUCCCCUGGGCCUGCACUGACGCUCAUGCACGAAAGCGUGGG